GGAAUCUUCCACAAUGGACGAAAGUCUGAUGGAGCAACGCCGCGUGAGUGAAGAAGGGUUUCGGCUCGUAAAACUCUGUUGUUAAAGAAGAACAUAUCUGAGAGUAACUGUUCAGGUAUUGACGGUAUUUAACCAGAAAGCCACGGCUAACUACGUGCCUG
rnacentral:rRNA from 1 species